AUUGAACGCUGGCGGCAGGCCUAACACAUGCAAGUCGAGCGGAUGAAGGGAGCUUGCUCCUGGAUUCAGCGGCGGACGGGUGAGUAAUGCCUAGGAAUCUGCCUGGUAGUGGGGUAGAAGGUCCGGAAACGGGCCCAAUUACCCCAACCCCCCUAAGGGCGAACGGGGGGAAUCUUGGGACCUCCCGCUAUUAGACGACCCUAGGUCGGAUUAGCUAGUUGGUGGGUUAAAGGCCUACCAAGGCGACGAUCCGAAGCUGGUCUGAGAGGAUGAUCGGUCACACUGGAACUGAGACACGGUCCAGACUCCUACGGGAGGCAGCAGUGGGGAAUAUUGGACAAUGGGCGAAAGCCUGAUCCAGCCAUGCCGCGUGUGUGAAGAAGGUCUUCGGAUUGUAAAGCACUUUAAGUUGGGAGGAAGGGCAGUAAGUUAAUACCUUGCUGUUUUGACGUUACCCACAGAAUAAGCACCGGCUAACUUCGUG
rnacentral:rRNA from 1 species